rnacentral:rRNA from 1 species
UACGGGGGGGGCAAGCGUUGUUCGGAAUUACUGGGCGUAAAGGGCUCGUAGGCGGCCAACUAAGUCAUACGUGAAAUCCCCCGGCUUAACCGGGGAACUGCGUCUGAUACUGGAUGGCUUGAGUCGGGAGAGGGAUGCGGAAUUCCAGGUGUAGCGGUGAAAUGCGUAGAUAUCUGGAGGAACACCGGUGGCGAAGGCGGCAUCCUGGACCGAUACUGACGCUGAGGAGCGAAAGCCAGGGGAGCAAACGGG